AGUUGCGCCCCCCCCCCACACGUCUUAAUUCCCUCUCUAAGGAGGUUCGCUUCGCGCCUUUUUUGCCUUGUUUUGGGCACAAGGCUGCCCACAAAACGUGGUUAUCGGGCAUGUACAUGCUAUCAGUAGAAUAAAUAAAUAAGGAUUCCUUUCUAGUCUCA